ensembl:lncRNA
AUUUCUCUCUGGAGAUUGCUCCUCUUGAAGUCUUUUUCAGUAAGCCCAUGAUGAAAGUGGAGGUGAAGAAAUUAAUUCAGACAAUGGAGUUUAUUGUGACGAUGACCUGAAGAAUAGCUAUCAAUGCAGAUUUUCUGUUUUGAGUGGAGAAAAUUCAAUUACUUUUCAAGACUUCGUCAAUCAAUUUGAUUGAGACAUACUUGUACUUCUGUUUAACUGCUUUUUUAGAAGCAUUUACAUAGCUGAAUUUUUCAAGAACAUGAUUUCAAGGAAGAGGAACAGGGGAAAAAAAAGAGUGCCUGAUAUUGUAUAAAAACCUGGUGGAGACUAAUGCAUUGUCAAAACUGGUUAAGAACACUUCAUCUCUGUGAAAAUAAUUUUUGAGUAUUACUGCUAAUGCUGCCAAGGAAAUGAAUUUUAUACACAUUAUGUUCUGCAUGAGGGCUGUUGUUUUUCUUCUUAUGGAAGUCAAGUUAAAUAAGUCUGUCUUGGAUGUGAAGCAGAAAAUUAUGAUGUUUUUAUUAUCUGCACGUUCCUUCCACAUUCAGAAAUGGUGAAAAAGAGGAUUGUUUUCGGUAGAGACUCCCUUUAGCUUAACUUAAAGCAUUUUAUUUAUAUUUUAACAAGACAUUUUCCCAUCUUUCUUUUUAUGUUACAUAGCUGUAUUCUCUUGGUAUUUGCGUACAUUUUGUAUUUGAAAAUCAGGUAGCACACUAUUUUUUCAUAACGAAGACAAAACACAUUCUGUUGGUAUUAUGUAUGCAUAUGUUAAUUUUAAAACAUACAGUCCUGUUAUUGCAGCGAAGUCCAGUGCUCUCAGAUGGUAGGUAGCUAAUAAAAGAUGGAUAAUGAUUAUGUCAUUAUGUAGGUGCCUUUGAAAAAGAAUCUUCUACUCGUUUACUUUCUAAUCAGCAGAAAUGGUUUUGAUUUUUUUUUUAACAUCUCUACUUUUUAACAUUAGCAACAAGAUUUAACAUUAUCAACAGAUUUACUGGUGGUACAAUGUGUGUAAAAGCUGGGAGAUGGAAGAGCUGAAAUGAAGUAGAAAGCCUCAGCUUAUUUCAAUAUAUUUAUCCAGAUCCUUCAGAUUUCUGCUGGAAAUGGAACAGAACACAAGUAUCCUAAAUAUUAUUUGAGAGAUCUUGAAAAUUUCCAGGAAGGUUCACAGCCAAACAGAGCUGCUUUUCAUGUCAGGAUAAUAUCUGCAAUACGCUGCAUGCAGUGGUAGAUUAUUUUUUUUGUUCUGAUUUUUAUUUACAAUAAAAUAAUAAACAUUAACAAAAAU